UACGGAGGGUGCAAGCGUUAUCCGGAUUCACUGGGUUUAAAGGGUGCGUAGGCGGCUUAAUAAGUCAUUGGUGAAAGCUCGCAGCUCAACUGCGAAACUGCCAUUGAAACUGUUUAGCUUGAAUGUGGUUGAAGUGGGCGGAAUACAACAUGUAGCGGUGAAAUGCUUAGAUAUGUUUUAGAACACCGAUUGCGAAGGCAGCUCACUAAGCCAAUAUUGACGCUGAGGCGCGAAAGCGUGGGUAGCAAACAGG
rnacentral:rRNA from 1 species